rnacentral:rRNA from 1 species
AAAGCGGGUGAAAAACCCGCUCGCCGGAAGACCAAGGGUUCCUGUCCAACGUUAAUCGGGGCAGGGUGAGUCGACCCCUAAGGUGAGGCCGAGAGGCGUAGCUGAUGGGAAACAGGUUAAUAUUCCUGUACUGAAUGUGACUGCGAAGGGGGGACGGAGAAGGCUAGGCCAUCCGGGCGACGGUUGUCCCGGUUUAAGCGUGUAGGUGGGAGGAGCAGGUAAAUCCGCUCUUCUGUGAACACUGAGGCGUGAUGACGAGCCGUUACGGCGGUGAAGUGGUUGAUGCCCGGCUUCCAGGAAAAGCCUCUAAGCCUCAGGUCAUAUUGAAUCGUACCCCAAACCGACACAGGUGGUCAGGUAGAGAAUACUCAGGCGCUUGAGAGAACUCGGGUGAAGGAACUAGGCAAAAUGGUGCCGUAACUUCGGGAGAAGGCACGCUGGCGGUAGGUGAAGGAGUUUGCCUCCGGAGCCGAAGCCAGUCGCAGAGACCAGCU